CCCGGUGAAAGGCAACCUGGGUUUACUCACAGGCGGCCAAGUCUAGGGCCUCGCUUCUCCGAGCCUCAGUUUCUUCGUCUGUGUGUGUGAUUCCUAGGAGAUACCCACUGUACAGAGCCGGAAACUGAAUCUCCAAGUGAUUUCUGAAGGUCAAGUAGCUGGAGGAUAGCAGCCGGGCAAUAUACAGAUGAUCCUGGAGAAACCUACCUCCUCAGGCAAGAC